rnacentral:rRNA from 1 species
ACAUGCAAGUCGAGCGGAGUAUCCUUCGGGGAAUGCUUAGCGACGAACGGGUGAGUAACACGUGGGUAAUCUGCCCCUCACAUCGGGAUAAGACUAGGAAACUGGAUCUAAUACCGGAUAACUGGUUUUCUCGCAUGAGAGAAUUAUGAAACACGGAGCAAUCUGUGGCUGAUAGAUGGGCCUGCGGCGCAUUAGCUAGUUGGUGGGGUAACGGCUCACCAAGGCGACGAUGCGUAGCCGACCUGAGAGGGUGAACGGCCACACUGGGACUGAGACACGGCCCAGACUCCUACGGGAGGCAGCAGUAGGGAAUCUUCCGCAAUGGACGCAAGUCUGACGGAGCAACGCCGCGUGAGUGAUGAAGGUUUUCGGAUCGUAAAGCUCUGUUGCCCUAGACGAACAGCAUGAGGAGUAACUGCCUUGUGUGUGACGGUAUAGGAGAAGAAAGCCCCGGCUAACUACGUGCCAGCAGCCGCGGUAAUACGUAGGGGGCAAGCGUUGUCCGGAAUUAUUGGGCGUAAAGCGCGCGCAGGCGGUUAAUUAAGUUGGGUGUUUAAGCCCGGGGCUCAACCCCGGUUCGCAUCCAAAACUGGUUGACUUGAGUGUAGGAGAGGAAAGUGGAAUUCCACGUGUAGCGGUGAAAUGCGUAGAGAUGUGGAGGAACACCACUGGCGAAGGCGACUUUCUGGCCUAUAACCGACGGUGAGGCGCGAAAGCGUGGGGAGCAAACAGGAUUCGAUACCCUGGUAGUCCACGCCAUAAACGAUGCAUACUAGGUGUCGGGGAUUCCAUUUCUCGGUGCCGAAGUUAACACAGUAAGUAUGUCGCCUGGGGA